GGCUGGUCCGAAGGUAGUGAGUUAUCUCAAUUGAUUGUUCACAGUCAGUUACAGAUUGAACUCCUUGUUCUACUCUUUUCCCCCCUUCUCACUACUGCACUUGACUAGUCUUAA
rnacentral:Y_RNA from 1 species